AGAGAUUGUAGAGGCGUAUAGGGAAGAGGGGGAAGGAAGAGAAAGGGAGAAAAAGAGAGAAAAAAAAAGGAAUAGGGUAGGAGAGGGGAGGGGGAGAGAGGCACGAAACCAUGGGCUUGUGCUUUGGUUGCUUCGAUGGGGGCAACAAGCGGAUGACCAAGGAGGAAGAAAGGUUGGCCUCGGAGGAAGCACGUGCAAGAGCUGCAGAAGCCGCCCAGAAAAAGCAAGAAGAGCAACCGGGAGAGGCAAAGGAGGGGGAUGCGGAUGCGGAAGCGGAAGAAGCGCCGGAAACGGAAAAGGAAAAGGAAGUUGAAAACUCCAACAAUGGCGAAGUAAAGGAUUAGAAAGGCCACUUGAUUUUUGUAUAGGUCGAGACGAAUCCUCUGCACUACCAGGUUUCCUUGUUCCGGAGAUGAACAACCGGUCUUUACUACACAACUGUACCAUCGGUCAAAUAUGUUGUUUCUCAGAUCAGGAAAUAUUAUGUUUGAUUGGAAAGAAUUCGUGAUGUAAAGGAAACAAGGAUGUAGCUUGGUGAUUUUAUUCCAUUUGUUGGUAUUGAAAAAACUCCAUUUUCCUUCCGCAAAAAUGAAACGCUUCAACCACUUUAUGGUA